GGGGGGGGGGGGGGGGGGGCGGGGGGGGGGGGGGGGGGGCGGGGGGGUCGGGCGGAGCGGCGGGCGGGUGGGUAACGCGGGGGCACGUGCCCUUUGCUUCGGAGUAGCCCUGGGCACCUGGGCGUACUCCCGGCUGAGCCCUUUGGGGGCAAGCUUUAUCGGCGAAGGAUCGGCCCGCGUUGGAUUAGGUAGUUGGUGGGGUCAUGGCCUACCACGCCGACGAUCCAUAGCUGGUUUGCGAGGAUGAUCAGCCACACUGGGACUGAGACACGGCCCAGACUACUACGGGAGGCAGCAGUGGGGAAUCUUAGACAAUGGGGGAAACCCUGAUCUAGCCAUGCCGCGUGAGCGAUGAAGGCCUUAGGGUUGUAAAGCUCUUUCAGCUGGGAAGAUAAUGACGGUACCAGCAGAAGAAGCCCCGGCUAACUCCGUG
rnacentral:rRNA from 1 species